rnacentral:lncRNA from 1 species
UUUUUAUUUUUUUUAAGUUUGUAUUUAUUUAUUCAUGAGAGACACAUAGAGAGAGGCAGAGACAUAGGCAGACAGAGAAGGAGGCUCCCUGCCGGGAGCCUGAUGCGGGAUUUGAUCCCAGGACCCCGGGAUUAUGACCUGAGCCAAAGGUAGACGCUCUACCACUGAGCCACCCGGGUGCUUCUCUUCAGUUCCUUUAAAAUGGAAUGGUAAAAGCAUUAAACAACUCUGUAACAGAACUGAUAAAAAAAAAAAGAAAGAAAGAAACCCACAAAAGUCCGUUAUCAGACUCUUUCUUUGAUUUUAUUUUACAGCUAUUGUCUAGUCUGAUAAAAAAAACACAUCAAUUAUUUAGAUGUUUGAGCACUCUCUUUAGCUCAGAAUAGUGGUACAUUGGCAUUCAUCUUAUUGACAAGAUCUUGUGGAUAUGAAUGUAUAAAAAUAUGACUGGACAGAAUAAGACUUGCGGAUUCUCCAGAGGCCUCUGGUUUCCAUAUAGCCCAUGUUUUAAGGGUACUUACUAGGUUGAUCACGUCUAUGAAACCUAUCAAGAUUUCAAAGUACAUAUUUAUGUUUGGCUCCCUCCUUUCCUAUCCCAUCUAGAGGUGUGUCAUGAGAACAAAUAACACGGUCUACAAAGAACUCUCCAAGCUUGUAGAAUUCUACUUAUAAACACUUAAAGUAAUUAAUACCUUAUUCCCUCAUUUCUAACAGCUUGUAAGUCAUUGGGAGUUCAAAUGCUAGUUUACAUGCUAUAAAACUUAUGUAUAAUGCAUUAAGGACUAUUCUAUACCUAUUAAUUCUUACACAAAAGGAGAUACACAAAAGGAGAAAGCGUGCCCCUUGCCUUAACAGAAGACACAAUUUUGAGAGAAAGACAAUAUCUGUAAAGUGAGAUAAGCUUUGCCUUUCUUAAACUGACAUGGGAUCAUGUGAUUUUCCUGCUAAAAGUCUUUGCCAUUGUCAUAUUGCUUUUAAAUAAAAGCAGAAACUUUCUAGAAUGACUGGCAAAUACUCUGUGAUCUAGCUCAUCUUUCCAUCUCUAAUCAGUCUCAGUAUCCUCAUUAUCCACAGUACUCCAGUCCCAUGGACUGGGCAGCCAUUCCAGCACUCACCAUUCCCUUUCACAUUACCAUGCUUUACCAUGUGAUUUUCUUUUCCUGGAAUAUAUCUACCAUUGGUGUUAUGAUAUUGGUAUGACACUUAGUAAUCAUACCAUACAAAGAAUUUUUAGAAUUGCUGUUUAAUAUUACCUUUACUAUCUUAUUUUAACUUUUGCCUAUGCCAAUAAACUGCAAGACGAAUGCUGUCGUGCCAACCUCAGCUUUGUAACCCCACAAAUCCUAUCAAAAUUCCUAGUUAAUUAAACAAAGUAAGAAAAAUUAGGAUGAAAUGAAAAAUAGAAUAAUAAUACUAACCAUGUGGUAUUAACAAAAGAGACUAAGGACUAUGAUUGAACUAGCAAUCAUGUUAGCUAAGGAUGACUUCAAGGAAGAGGUAAAACUUUUGGUCUUGCUUAACAUGUCAAACUGAAGACUUGGAAGCAGGUUCGUGCUCUGGUGGCAAUGAGUGCACCACCAACUGAGAAACCCUUGCAUAUCUAUCAAGCUUAUUUGUAAGAAGGAAAGCAUAGGCAAAAGAAUUAGGGAACUCAUACUUGGUAAUUGCAUAAAAUGUAUCGACGUCUCAUUAAGAUUUGGAACAAUCCUAUGAGAUAUGAAUUUACAUCCAUUUUAAUAAGGGGUAUUGAAAGUUUCCAAGAAUCAAAUAAAUUACACAAAACCAUCCACAUUAGGUGGCAGAGCUAGGAUUCAGACUGAGGAGUAUACCAAAGCUCGUGAUCUUUUCAGUAUAUCAGGAGGUUACUCAAAGUUCCUAAACAAAAGGAAAGAAAAGGAAUAUAGCUUUCAUAGCAUGUUGUCUAGGAAAGGAAGAAAAAAAUAUUGAAACUACUAUUCAUUCACUUAAGGUUUUAGUAAAGCUACAUCCUGGGGAUACAAUGGUAAGUACCAAAAUAGCAGAAAUGUAUAGCCCUUGUUCUUUUGGAGUAUAUGAGAAGCAUAAGUAAAAUGUAAUGAAAAGUACAUGAAUAAAUGCAAAAUUACAACAGUAUUAAAUGUAAUUUAAAAAAAAUAGCUAUUUGGUACUUUGAAUUUACAAUAAUGUAAAGAACAAAUAUAUUCCACUCUUUCAUUCUGAUAUGACAAAAAAAUGGUGAUCUAUGGGCACCUGGGUGACUUUGUUAAGUGUCUGCUUUACACUCAGGUCAAGAUCUCAGGGUCCUGGGAUCAAGCCCUGCAAUGGGUUCCCUGCUCAGCGGGGAGUCUGCUUCUUCCUCUCCCUCUGCCCCUCCUCUCCUGCUCAUGCUCCCUCCCCCUCCACCAAAUAAAUAAAUAAAAUCUUUUAAAAAAGAAUGGUGAUCUAAAAGAAAAGGUGGAAUACAGGAGUCUGUGCAUUGGCAGAGAAGAGUACUCAGAAAGAAGAAACAUUUCAGGGAUAGGAAAUAGUAUAAGCAAAAGCCCCGAGAACAGGAGGGACCAUAUUAUGUUUGAGGAACUCAGAAAAGAAUAUUGUAUUCUAGAGUUUUUGACCUAAGACAACAGUACAUAGUAGUGUUCUUACAUUGAAAUCUGGGAAAACAGGAAUAUUUGGUGUCUUAGAAAGAUCAACUUUGAUUUUAAUCAAAGCAUCAAGCUGAGCUGGUCAAAUUUCUUGCCUUCUUUAAUCAUCAUGUUCCUCACUCCAUGGGGAGGUAAGCUCUGAAGCCACAGAUACUCUAUUCAAGCUGCAGCAUAUGAUGGAUUUCCUUCAGAGGAAUCAGUAGAACAAUUGUUAUAAAUUUCCUUAAGAAAGAAGUAGGGAUAGUUCAGAAAUCUGGGAUUCAUAAUAGGAAUAAGCAUGGUCUUUGGAUUGUGUCAGGUUUGGCUUCAAACCCAAAUCUUCGUAGCUUGGUCAGCUUGUGCAGGCAACUUAAAUUCUGAGUCUCAGAUUCUUUAUCUAUAAGACACUGUAAUGAGUAAAUAGAAAAGGAAUAUAAAGGGCUAAGCAUAUAUUCAAAACCUUGUCCUGAUUUUCCCCUUUCCUUCCUUCAUUCAAUUCCAUUUCAUCUUCUACUAUGCAUACUGCUUUUGAUCUUCCAAGAAAAUUCCUUCUAUUUAUCCCUGCCUUCCCUUUUUUGGUUUGGUAUUUUUUUUCUCUUUUAUUCCUGGUGAUAAAGUCUUAUUUUUAUUACCUGCUUGCUAUAUUGAACCCCCGAGAGUAUUAUUCUAUCUUGAGCCAGGGCUAAUCUCUUCUAGGUUACUUUUUCCUUAAAGAAAUGAUGCUGGAUACUAUUCUAUAUAAUUACACUCCUUUCUAUGGCACACACACAAACAAAAGACAAGGCAGGCAAAUUAGAUUUUUGUCCAUUUCAAAGACAAGAGCUUCCCAGAAAAUUAUGUUGAAUCAAUGAGGCUCACUUAAGAAAGCAAAGUCCUUUGUGAGGGGGGGUGUUUUGAGAAGUCCAAGUGAUUUGCUACACAGUAGUGCUUAUUUUGGGGUAAUAAUUCAUGGAAAUAUACUUUUUAAUUCAAUUUGCAAUAAUCCCUAUUUCAUCAAAACCACCACUUAGGUCCAUGUUUCUUUUUAUCAUUUAUCCAUUAUUAGCGGCAUUACAAAAAAAAAAAAAAAA